rnacentral:rRNA from 1 species
UGGUAAUGCCGGAUGCUCCAGUUGGAUGCAUGUCCUUCUGGGAAAGAUUCAUCGGUAUGGGAUGGGGUCGCGUCCUAUCAGCUUGAUGGCGGGGUAACGGCCCACCAUGGCUUCGACGGGUAGCCGGCCUGAGAGGGCGACCGGCCACAUUGGGACUGAGAUACGGCCCAGACUCCUACGGGAGGCAGCAGUGGGGAAUAUUGCACAAUGGGCGCAAGCCUGAUGCAGCGACGCCGCGUGCGGGAUGACGGCCUUCGGGUUGUAAACCGCUUUUGACUGGGAGCAAGCCCUUCGGGGUGAGUGUACCUUUCGAAUAAGCACCGGCUAACUACGUGCCAGCAGCCGCGGUAAUACGUAGGGUGCAAGCGUUAUCCGGAAUUAUUGGGCGUAAAGGGCUCGUAGGCGGUUCGUCGCGUCCGGUGUGAAAGUCCAUCGCUUAACGGUGGAUCCGCGCCGGGUACGGGCGGGCUUGAGUGCGGUAGGGGAGACUGGAAUUCCCGGUGUAACGGUGGAAUGUGUAG